AUUGAACGCUGGCGGAAUGCUUUACACAUGCAAGUCGAGCGGCAGCGCGGGGGCAACCCUGGCGGCGAGCGGCGAACGGGUGAGUAACAUAUCGGAACGUGCCCAAUCGUGGGGGAUAACGUAGCGAAAGUUACGCUAAUACCGCAUAAGCCCUGAGGGGGAAAGUGGGGGACCGCAAGGCCUCACGCGAAUGGAGCGGCCGAUGUCAGAUUAGCUAGUUGGUGGGGUAACGGCCCACCAAGGCGACGAUGUCUAGCUGGUCUGAGAGGAUGAUCAGCCACACUGGGACUGAGACACGGCCCAGACUCCUACGGGAGGCAGCAGUAGGGAAUAUUGGACAAUGGGGGGAACCCUGAUCCAGCCAUGCCGCGUGAGGGAAGAAGGUCCUCUGGAUUGUAAACCUCUUUUGGCAGGAAACAAACCUGCGCUAUACGCGCAGCUGAGGGUACCUGCAGAAUAAGCACCGGCUAACUCCGUGCCAGCAGCCGCGGUAAAGUAG
rnacentral:rRNA from 1 species